UACGGAGGGGGCUAGCGUUGUUCGGAAUUACUGGGCGUAAAGCGCACGUAGGCGGACCAUCAAGUUGGGGGUGAAAUCCCGGGGCUCAACCCCCGGAACUGCCUCCAAAACUGCUGGUCUGGAGGUCGAGAGAGGUGAGUGGAAUUCCGAGUGUAGAGGUGAAAUUCGUAGAUAUUCGGGAGGAAGCACCACGUGGCGGAGGCGGCUCACUG
rnacentral:rRNA from 1 species